rnacentral:rRNA from 1 species
CACGUAGGGCGCAAGCGUUGUCCGGAAUUAUUGGGCGUAAAGAGCUCGUAGGCGGUCUGUUACGUCUGCUGUGAAACCUAGGGCUUAACCCUGGGCUUGCAGUGGAUACGGGCAGACUAGAGGUAGGUAGGGGAGAAUGGAAUUCCUGGUGUAGCGGUGAAAUGCGCAGAUAUCAGGAGGAACACCGGUGGCGAAGGCGGUCUCUGGGCCUACCUGACACUGAGGAGCGAAAGCGUGGGGGGAGCGAACAGG